rnacentral:rRNA from 1 species
UACAUGGGGUGCAAACGUUGCUCGGAAUUAUUGGGCGUAAAGCGCGCGUAGGCGGUUACUCAAGUCGGAUGUGAAAGCCCUCGGCUUAACUGAGGAAGUGCACCCGAAACUGAGUAGCUAGAGUACUAAAGAGGGUCGCGGAAUUCCCGGUGUAGAGGUGAAAUUCGUAGAUAUUCGCAAGAACACCAGUGGCGAAGGCGGCUUACUGGUCCGGAUCUGACGCUGAGGCGCGAAAGCGUGGGGAGCAAACAGG